UGGGGAAUUUUGCGCAAUGGGCGAAAGCCUGACGCAGCAACGCCGCGUGGAGGAUGAAGGCCUUCGGGUCGUAAACUCCUGUCAGGGGGGACGAAAGCCGCGCAAGCGGUUUGACUGUACCCUCUGAGGAAGCCACGGCUAACUCCGUGCCAGCAGCCGCGGUAAUACGGAGGAGGCAAGCGUUGUUCGGAAUUACUGGGCGUAAAGGGCGCGUAGGCGGCUUGGCAAGUCAGAUGUGAAAGCCCCGGGCUUAACUUGGGAAUUGCAUCUGAAACUGCUUUGCUUGAGUCCUGGAGGGGGUAGUGGAAUUCCCAGUGUAGCGGUGAAAUGCGUAGAUAUUGGGAGGAACACCUGCGGCGAAGGCGGCUACCUGGACAGUGACUGACGCUGAGGCGCGAAAGCUAGGGGAGCAAACGGGAUUAGAUACCCCGGUAGUCCUAGCCGUAAACGAUGGGCACUUGGUGUCGGGGGUAUUGAGUCCCCCGGUGCCGGAGUUAACAUAUUAAGUGCCCCGCCUGGGGAGUACGGUCGCAAGACUG
rnacentral:rRNA from 1 species